AAGAAGCCAUUUUUUCCCUUUCUUCUUCCCUUCGUUACAACCAAGAAAGUUGAAACAAUAAAUUUUCAUCUAUCUCCGAUCACCCAUUUUCAUCUUCUCCGAUCCCAUCCUUGUUUUCCCUAUUGCUACAGUUACAGAAAGCAGAGAAAUCAACCAACAAAAUUCAUUUUUCUAACUCAAACCCUUGAUUUUACUCCCAAUUUCAGUUCAAUUUCAAAUUCUAACUCUACCCGUAGCUCCGGUUCAAUCUAGAAUCAUUUUCAUCCCCUGCCAUGAAUAUAAGACGAGGUAGAUCAGACAGUAAAUAGUCUUUGUAGCAGGUAUCCAGUAAUUUCAAUGAAGAACAGUCUGCAUUGCUUUCUUCAUGUAAAUUUAGCGAAAUUCGAGUGAAAAGUUUCGAUUUUGAGAACAAAAAUGUUGAUUUUAAAAGUAUAAAUUCGAGAAGGUGGGUUGUUUCUGAUGGAAUUAUUUGUAUAAACAAAGAGUUUACUUCUGAGGCUUUAAUUGGGUUAACGGCUGGAUUUACGUCUGACUCGUUAAGGGAUGACGAAAUUGAAGUUUGGGUUGUUUAUGCGGUUGGCGGGGUGGAAUAGUAUAACUACAUUUUAAUUAGAAAUCACAUUAUUUCCCGAUGGCGCUAAAAUGUGUGGAUUUGGGUGACGAAAGAUGUAUUUGUUGAUGUUAUAUGUGAACACCGUAGUGGGUUAUUGGAUUCUACAUUACUUGUUAUGAUAUGGGUAUUUUAAUUUUUGGAUGGCUUUGACAGCUGAGCCAAGUAAGGGUAGAGUGAUUGUUAUCGGGGGCAUGACUUGCUGGGUUGGCGGCUGCAAGGAAACUGAUGUCAUUUGGCUUUGAAGUUGCGAUUUUGGAUGGAUGAAAGCGUGUAGGUGGAAGGGUGUACAAAAAAGAUGGAAGGGGGAAUAAGGUGACAACUGCUAAUUUAGGAGGGAUUGUUUUGACAGGUACACUAGGGAAUCCGACUGGUCUAUUGGUACGACAAUUGUCAUAUACAUUUCAUAAAGUGAGAGACCAAUGUCCAAUCUAUUGUGCUGAUGGAAAGCCUGUAGAGGAGAGGCAUUGGGGACUUCGCGAGAGGAUUUUGUUCUAUAGCUAUACAACAGUUGCUGGUUGGCCCUUAUUGUUAGCUCUAGUCGCAGGAGAAGCUGCCAUACAAGUUUGAGCUAACGGCCCCUACUGAUGCAGUGAAAAAAGUUCUUCAAAUUUUAGAAGGUAAUUAAAUGUCAUGUUCCAUAUUAACUUAGCUUUCAAUAUACCAAAAUCUUAUCUUUCUUUCUUUUGAAUAGCAUAUUAUUUGGUAGCCAAGUAACAAGUAAAGAAUAAAAAACUCCACGAGCAGAAAAAUAAGAACGAAGUUGCUCGGGAAGUGAAAAUUCAUGUUAUCUUUGUCUAGAGUUAAGCGGUUGAAAGAGUAUCAGUGCCAAUCCCAUUUCAUAUUCGUUAAGUUUCAGUUUGAAGCGUGUAUGUAUUGUCUUGUUUGAGGUAGGAUCUUGCUUUGUUUAACUUUCUGUCUCAACUAUAUACUUCAGAGAUGAUUUCAUCAUCUGUCGUUUAUGCUGCUACGUAGGCAUAUAUAUAUAUUUGAAAAUGCAUCGAUUAUAGUAAAGAUGAAACUUAUGUUUCUUAUGGUUAUGGAGCUAAUGUAUUGAUAAGAUUUGGGCAUUAUUAUCAAGCAUAAAUGAACCACAAGGAAUUAACGUCCCAGAGCCCAUCCGUUUAGAUUUGGUUCCUACUCCAUCUUUGUGCUAUCCAGCCACCAUGCAUGGAUCAUUUCUCACUGGGCUUAGAGAAGCUGCAAAGAUGGCCUAUCACACAGGUAUUAGAACAUUGCAUUUGAAGAUUGAGAAGAGAAAAACCGAGAUAAGGUGUUGUAAAGUCAAGAGUAGCCACUGUCAAGUAAAAAAUAGUCGGAUAUAAGUCCUUCCCCACCUCUCUUUAGCUUCUUCUUUCCUAUUUCUUUUUCUUGUUCAGAGUUUCAGCUUCUUCAUGAAUCCCCUUUUUAACUUGUUUCUCAGGAUGGCUAAAAACUUUGGCAGAGGCAACGGAACCACUUUAUCUGCUGGGGAUAUUAGAACUAACGUAGUAGCGAGUUGCUUUAGCUCUACGCCACUGGCAAGUAAGAAAUUGGCCCUUCUAAAGGGAUCUCACUUCCUCCAGGUUUGAAUAUUCUCGUAAUGACAACAUUGGGUCUAAACCACUGGGUAGUGUGGUUAUGGAUCUGUGCUUCUAGUCCUGAGAAAACUUCUUGCCUGAGCUUGUUUGCCUUAUUAAAAAGUGAGUUAUAAGCAACCUCCACUUUUGUAUCCAAAUACUCGUCUACGGGAUUUCCAUUAGCACGGUAGAGUGGGCAUUGGUCUCUCACCUUAUGAAGUGUAUACGACAACUUUCGUUCCAACAGACCCAGUGGAUUCCCUAGUGUACCUGUCAAAACACUCCCUCCCAAAUCAGCAGCUGCCACCUUAUUCCCUCAUUCCAUCUUUUUUUUGUAUACACCCUUCCACCUACACACUUUCGUCCCUCCAAAACAGUAAACUCAAAACCAAAUAACAUCAGUUGUCUCACAGCCGCCAAACCAGCAAGACCUGGCCCGACAACAGUCUCUCCGCCCUUUCUUGGCUCAACUGGAAUCUUGUCCUUAAUUGUCAAUGCCACCCCAAAAUUAAUAUAUCCAUAUGAUAACAGGUAGUUCUAUGCAGAAUCUAAUAGCUCAUUACAGUGUUCAGGUAUAACAUCAACAAACAUAUCUUCUGUCACCCAAAUCGACACAUUUUCAUGCCAUUUGGUAAUAAUAGGAUUUCUGAUUAAAAUGUAGUUAUCAUGUUCUAUCCCGCCAACUUCAGAAACAAACCCUAAUUUCACUUCCGCCAGUCGUUAACGACUCGGAUGAAAAUCCAGCAGUUAAUGCAAUUAAAGAAUUAGAAGUUGGCUCUUUGUUUAUUGAAAUAUUCUCAUCAGCAACAACUCGCCUUCUGGAAUUUGUACUUUUAAGCACCUAAGAAUUAACAUUUGUGUUUGCGAAAUUGGAACUUUUCACUCGGGGUUUGCUAAACUUAUCUAAAAAAGAUGAAGACAGAAAUGCAGACUGUUCUUCAUUGGCACUACCGAGAAAAUUACUGGAUACUUGGCACAAAGGCAGUUUACUGCUUGGCCUACCUUGUCUUCUCCUCAUGGGAAGGGAUGGAAAUGCUUCGGGAUUGAACCGGAAUUAGGGUUAGGAUUAGAAUUUUGGAAGUGAAUUGAAACUGGGAGUAAAAUUAAUGUUCAGGUUUGAGUUAGGCAAAUGAACUGGGAAUUGUUUCACUAGUACUAUGCAAACUUUCGAUUGAGCUGCUAUUUUUGCAAGAAUCGCGGAUGCUGGCUCUCUUAGAGUCAUGAGCACUGAUGUCACGGAGAAAAGAAGUUGUAGCAGAGUAGCAACAAUGCCCGGUUUUAUCAGACAUUGAACAUUUGCUUUUGAGGCAGACAAGUUGUGCACCGCGUUAAGAGACGGUUGCUUAGCUUCUAGGCUCUCAAUGGCGAACAUUUUGACUAGCGGUUUGACGGCUCCAUCUUGUCCCAGAUGUACUCGAGCACUUGCCUUGGGCCAAGUACUGUACAUGUUUUCGGACGGUAAGAGCUUCAGUCCGCUGUUUGAUUGCUUCCAUAUAUAUCAGGCUUAAACAUUCUUCUCAACUACUCAACACACUCCAAAACUAGUUGUUGAUAAGGGAGAACUUUCUGCCUCUUCAUAACGCGCACAAUACAAACAUCAAUUGCAUGCAUAACGUCUAUGAGAACUAUAUAUAUUUUAUAUGAUUGCGUUAUAAUAAUAUAUAGCUCUGUUUUAAAAAGCACCUAGAUUUAUGUCAGUGCGAUUACAAUUAACAUAUAUCUGAUUAUCAACCUUGAUGUUGUGGCUUGCGGGUUAUAGGAGACAAUCGACUCUUUUGCUCAUUGUCUGCAAGGACUAUACAUAUUUCAUAGCUCGAUCAAUCGAUCAGUGGGCUGAAAUCAGUUGAAGAAACGACUCGAUUUAAUAGGUUAUCUAAGUUCUUGGUGAAGCUCUCUCUUCCUCUCGUCUGAGUGAGGGAAAACUGAAAUUAGUUCAUAAAAACUAUAUACAUUCUACCGUCCAUAAACGGCUAUAAGAUUAGACUUGGUUUCA